CAAAGGUUUGGUCCUGACUUUACUAUCAGUUUUAGCCCAAUUUACACAUGCAAGCCUCCCCAACCCUGUGAGAAUGCCCUCAGCUUUCCCGCCCGGAGACGAGGAGCUGGCAUCAGGCACAACACCUAACAAGCCCAAGACGCCUUGCUUAGCCACACCCCCAAGGGAACUCAGCAGUGAUAGACAUUAAGCCAUGAGUGAAAACUUGACUUAGUUAGGGCUAAGAGGGUCGGUAAAACUCGUGCCAGCCACCGCGGUUAUACGAGAGACCCAAACUGAUUAAACUCGGCGUAAAGAGUGGUUAUGGAAAACACAAUACUAAAGCUGAAGACCCCCUAAGCCGUUAUACGCAUUUGGUGACUCGAAUCUCUAAUACGAAAGUAGCUUUAUUUCAUCCAACCAGAACCCACGACAGCUAGGCCACAAACUGGGAUUAGAUACCCCACUAUGCCCUGCCGUAAACUUAGAUAUUUUCUUACAAUAAAUAUCCGCCUGGGAACUACGAGCGCUAGCUUAAAACCCAAAGGACUUGGCGGUGCUUUAGACCCCCCUAGAGGAGCCUGUUCUAGAACCGAUAACCCCCGUUUGACCUCACUACUUCUUGCUCUCCCCGCCUAUAUACCGCCGUCGCCAGCUUACCCUAUGAAGGCCCCACAGUAAGCAGAAUGGGUAAUACCCAAAACGUCAGGUCGAGGUGUAGCGUACGAAGUAGGAAGAAAUGGGCUACAUUAUCUGAGACAGAUUACUCACGAAAGGCUACCUGAAACAGAUAGCCUGAAGGCGGAUUUAGCAGUAAGGAAAGAGCAGAGCGCUUUCCUGAAGUCGGCUCUGAAGCGCGCACACACCGCCCGUCACUCUCCCCAACAGUACCCUUAUCUAGUACCUUAACAUAAUAAUAACCGCAAGGGGAGGCAAGUCGUAACAUGGUAAGUGUACCGGAAGGUGCACUUGGAACAAU
rnacentral:ncRNA from 1 species